GUUGUGUCAAUUUAUCAAACCC
rnacentral:miRNA from 1 species